AUUGAACGCUGGCGGCAUGCUUUACACAUGCAAGUCGAACGGUAACAGGCCGCAAGGUGCUGACGAGUGGCGAACGGGUGAGUAAUGCAUCGGAACGUGCCCAGUCGUGGGGGAUAACGCAGCGAAAGCUGCGCUAAUACCGCAUACGAUCUAUGGAUGAAAACGGGGGACCAUAAGGCCUCGCGCGAUUGGAGCGGCCGAUGUCAGAUUAGGUAGUUGGUGGGGUAAAGGCGCACCAAGCCAACGAUCUGUAGCUGGUCUGAGAGGACGACCAGCCAGACUGGGACUGAGACACGGCCCAGACUCCUACGGGAGGCAGCAGUGGGGAAUUUUGGACAAUGGGCGCAAGCCUGAUCCAGCAAUGCCGCGUGCAGGAAGAAGGCCUUCGGGUUGUAAACUGCUUUUGUACGGAACGAAACGGUCCUGGUUAAUACCCGGGGCUAAUGACGGUACCGUAAGAAUAAGCACCGGCUAACAACGUGCCAGCCGCCGCCGUAAGAC
rnacentral:rRNA from 1 species